rnacentral:rRNA from 1 species
GACGACGCUGGCGGCGUGGAUUAGGCAUGCAAGUCGAACGGUAUCAUCCUUCGGGGGUGAGAGAGUGGCGAACUGGUGAGUAACACGUAGGUUAUCUACCCUCAAGACGGGACAACCCAGGGAAACUUGGGCUAAUACCGGAUGUGAGCAACUUUUAGUUGUUUGAAAGGUGGCGUAAGCUGUCGCUUGGGGAUGAGCCUGCGUCCUAUUAGUUAGUUGGUGAGGUAACGGCUCACCUAGGCAAUGAUAGGUAGGCGGCCUUAACGGGUGGUCGCCCACACUGGGAUUGAGAUACGGCCCAGACUCCUACGGGAGGCAGCAGUCGAGAAUAGUCUACAAUGGUCGGAAGACUGAUAGUGCGACGCCGCGUGAACGAUGAAUCCCUUCGGGGUGUAAAGUUCUUUUAUAUGUGAGCAGUGCUUCUUAUAUUAACAGUACUGGGGAGAGAGAUAUUAGCAUAUGAAUAAGCAACGGCUAACUCCGUG